GACGAACGCUGGCGGCGUGCCUAAUACAUGCAAGUCGAACGCAGUGGGGACGGGUGAGUAACACGUGGGAAACCUCCCAUCAGAGGGGAUAACACUUGGAAACAGGUGCUAAACCGAUCCUGCUGGAUGGACCCGAGGGGCAUUAGCUAGUUGGGGAGGUAACGGCUCACCAAGGCCACGAUGCAUAGCCGACCUGAGAGGGGGAUCGGCCACACUGGCACUGAGACACGGCCCAGACUCCUACGGGAGGCAGCAGUGGGGAAUCUUCGGCAAUGGACGCAAUCCUGAUGCAGCCAUGCCGCGUGUAUGAAGAAGGCCUUAGGGUUGUAAAGUACUUUCAGCGGGGAGGCGUUACCCGCAGAAGAAGCACCGGCUAACUCCGUGCCAGCAGCCGCGGUAAUAC
rnacentral:rRNA from 1 species